rnacentral:tRNA from 1 species
GUGCUUAUAGUUUAAUUAGGUGAAAAUAUUCGGCUGAUAACCGAAAGCUCAAGGUUCAAAUCCUUGUAAGCACA